AUGCUGGAGGUAUCAGAAGUGCGAAUGCUGACAUAAGUAACGAUAAUGCGGGUGAAAAACCCGCACGCCGGAAGACCAAGGGUUCCUGUCCAACGUUAAUCGGGGCAGGGUGAGUCGACCCCUAAGGCGAGGCCGAAAGGCGUAGUCGAUGGGAAACAGGUUAAUAUUCCUGUACUUGGUGUUACUGCGAAGGGGGGACGGAGAAGGCUAUGUUAGCCGGGCGACGGUUGUCCCGGUUUAAGCAUGUAGGCGGAGGUUCCAGGUAAAUCCGGUACCUUUUUAACGCUGAGGUGUGAUGACGAGGCACUACGGUGCUGAAGUAACAAAUGCCCUGCUUCCAGGAAAAGCCUCUAAGCAUCAGGUAACACGAAAUCGUACCCCAAACCGACACAGGUGGUCAGGUAGAGAAUACCAAGGCGCUUGAGAGAACUCGGGUGAAGGAACUAGGCAAAAUGGUGCCGUAACUUCGGGAGAAGGCACGCUGAUAUGUAGGUGAAGUGAUUUACUCAUGGAGCUGAAAUCAGUCGAAGAUACCAGCUGGCUGCAACUGUUUAUUAAAAACACAGCACUGUGCAAACACGAAAGUGGACGUAUACGGUGUGACGCCUGCCCGGUGCCGGAAGGUUAAUUGAUGGGGUUAUCCGUAAGGAGAAGCUCUUGAUCGAAGCCCCGGUAAACGGCGGCCGUAACUAUAACGGUCCUAAGGUAGCGAAAUUCCUUGUCGGGUAAGUUCCGACCUGCACGAAUGGCGUAAUGAUGGCCAGGCUGUCUCCACCCGAGACUCAGUGAAAUUGAACUCGCUGUGAAGAUGCAGUGUACCCGCGGCAAGACGGAAAGACCCCGUGAACCUUUACUAUAGCUUGACACUGAACACUGGUCCUUGAUGUGUAGGAUAGGUGGGAGGCUUUGAAGUGUGGACGCCAGUCUGCAUGGAGCCAUCCUUGAAAUACCACCCUUUAAUGGCUGGUGUUCUAACGUGGACCCGUGAUCCGGGUUGCGGACAGUGUCUGGUGGGUAGUUUGACUGGGGCGGUCUCCUCCUAAAGAGUAACGGAGGAGCACGAAGGUUAGCUAAUCCUGGUCGGACAUCAGGAGGUUAGUGCAAAGGCAUAAGCUAGCUUGACUGCGAGAGUGACGGCUCGAGCAGGUGCGAAAGCAGGUCUUAGUGAUCCGGUGGUUCUGAAUGGAAGGGCCAUCGCUCAACGGAUAAAAGGUACUCCGGGGAUAACAGGCUGAUACCGCCCAAGAGUUCAUAUCGACGGCGGUGUUUGGCACCUCGAUGUCGGCUCAUCACAUCCUGGGGCUGAAGUAGGUCCCAAGGGUAUGGCUGUUCGCCAUUUAAAGUGGUACGCGAGCUGGGUUUAGAACGUCGUGAGACAGUUCGGUCCCUAUCUGCCGUGGGCGCUGGAGAAUUGAGGGGGGCUGCUCCUAGUACGAGAGGACCGGAGUGGACGCAUCACUGGUGUUCGGGUUGUCAUGCCAAUGGCAUUGCCCGGUAGCUAAAUGCGGAAGAGAUAAGUGCUGAAAGCAUCUAAGCACGAAACUUGCCCCGAGAUGAGUUCUCCCUGAGACUAUAAGUCUCCUGAAGGAACGUUAAAGACGAUGACGUUGAUAGGUCGGGUGUGUAAG
rnacentral:rRNA from 1 species